AUUGAACGCUGGCGGAAUGCUUUACACAUGCAAGUCGAACGGCAGCACGGGGGCAACCCUGGUGGCGAGUGGCGAACGGGUGAGUAAUACAUCGGAACGUGCCCAGUCGUGGGGGAUAACGUAGCGAAAGCUACGCUAAUACCGCAUACGAACUGAGGUUGAAAGCGGGGGAUCGCAAGACCUCGCGCGAUUGGAGCGGCCGAUGGCAGAUUAGGUAGUUGGUGGGGUAAAGGCUCACCAAGCCGCCGAGCUGUAGCUGGUCUGAGAGGACGACCAGCCACACUGGGACUGAGACACGGCCCAGACUCCUACGGGAGGCAGCAGUGGGGAAUUUUGGACAAUGGGCGCAAGCCUGAUCCAGCCAUUCCGCGUGCAGGAUGAAGGCCCUCGGGUUGUAAACUGCUUUUGUACGGAACGAAACGGCUUGGGUUAAUACCUCGGGCUAAUGACGGUACCGUAAGAAUAAGCACCGGCUAACUACGUGCCAGCAGCCGCGGUAAUAC
rnacentral:rRNA from 1 species